CCUACGGGUGGCAGCAGUGAGGAAUAUUGGUCAAUGGACGAGAGUCUGAACCAGCCAAGUAGCGUGAAGGAUGACUGCCCUAUGGGUUGUAAACUUCUUUUAUAUGGGAAUAAAACGUUCCACGUGUGUGAUUUUGUAUGUACCAUAUGAAUAAGGCUCGGCUAACUCCGUGCCAGCAGCCGCGGUAAUACGGAGGAUCCGAGCGUUAUCCGGAUUUAUUGGGUUUAAAGGGAGCGUAGGUGGAUUGUUAAGUCAGUUGUGAAAGUUUGCGGCUCAACCGUAAAAUUGCAGUUGAAACUGGCAGUCUUGAGUACAGUAGAGGUGGGCGGAAUUCGUGGUGUAGCGGUGAAAUGCUUAGAUAUCACGAAGAACUCCGAUUGCGAAGGCAGUUCACUGGACUGCAACUGACACUGAGGCUCGAAAGUGUGGGUAUCAAACAGGAUUAGAUACCCCAGUAGUC
rnacentral:rRNA from 1 species